AGUGAACGCUGGCGGUAGGCCUAACACAUGCAAGUCGAACGGCAGCACAGUAAGAGCUUGCUCUUACGGGUGGCGAGUGGCGGACGGGUGAGGAAUACAUCGGAAUCUACUUUUUCGUGGGGGAUAACGUAGGGAAACUUACGCUAAUACCGCAUACGACCUACGGGUGAAAGCAGGGGAUCUUCGGACCUUGCGCGAUUGAAUGAGCCGAUGUCGGAUUAGCUAGUUGGCGGGGUAAAGGCCCACCAAGGCGACGAUCCGUAGCUGGUCUGAGAGGAUGAUCGGCGACACUGGAAGUGAGACACGGUCCAGACUACUACGGGAGGCAGCAGUGGGGAAUAUUGGACAAUGGGCGCAAGCCUGAUCCAGCCAUACCGCGUGGGUGAAGAAGGCCUUCGGGUUGUAAAGCCCUUUUGUUGGGAAAGAAAAGCAGCAGGUUAAUACCCCGCUGUUCUGACGGUACCCAAAGAAUAAGCACCGGCUAACUUCGUG
rnacentral:rRNA from 1 species